rnacentral:rRNA from 1 species
CAUCGGCAGCUAUACAUGCAGUCGAACGAGAUUCAGGAGCUUGCUCCUCAUGAAAGUGGCGCACGGGUGCGUAACACGUAUGCAACCUACCUUCAAUUGGGGGAUAGCCUUCCGAAAGGGAGAUUAAUACCGCAUAAGAUAUUAGAAUGGCAUCAUUCAGAUAUUAAAACUUUGGUGAUUGAAGAUGGGCAUGCGUUGCAUUAGCUAGUUGGUAAGGUAACGGCUUACCAAGGCUACGAUGCAUAGGGGAUCUGAGAGGAUGGUCCCCCACACUGGUACUGAGAUACGGACCAGACUCCUACGGGAGGCAGCAGUAAGGAAUAUUGGUCAAUGGAGGGAACUCUGAACCAGCCAUGCCGCGUGCAGGACGACGGCCCUAUGGGUUGUAAACUGCUUUUGUCAGGGAAUAAAUCAUUUUACGUGUAGAAUGUUGAAGGUACCUGAAGAAUAAGGAUCGGCUAACUCCGUGCCAGCAGCCGCGGUAAUACGGAGGAUCCAAGCGUUAUCCGGAUUUAUUGGGUUUAAAGGGUGCGUAGGCGGUAAAUUAAGUCAGAGGUGAAAGCCUGCAGCUCAACUGUAGAACUGCCUUUGAUACUGGUUUACUUGAGUACAGAUGAAGUGGGCGGAAUGUGACAAGUAGCGGUGAAAUGCAUAGAUAUGUCACAGAACACCGAUUGCGAAGGCAGCUCACUAAAGUGUAACUGACGCUGAGGCACGAAAGCGUGGGGAUCAAACAGGAUUAGAUACCCUGGUAGUCCACGCCCUAAACGAUGAUUACUCGCUGCCGGCGAUAUACAGUCGGCGGCUAAGCGAAAGCGUUAAGUAAUCCACCUGGGGAGUACGGUCGCAAGAUUGAAACUCAAAGGAAUUGACGGGGGCCCGCACAAGCGGAGGAGCAUGUGGUUUAAUUCGAUGAUACGCGAGGAACCUUACCCGGGCUUGAAAGUUAGUGAAUGAUUUAGAAAUAGAUCAGUGAGCAAUCACACGAAACUAGGUGCUGCAUGGCUGUCGUCAGCUCGUGCCGUGAGGUGUUGGGUUAAGUCCCGCAACGAGCGCAACCCCUAUGAUUAGUUGCCAGCAUUAAGAUGGGGACUCUAAUCAGACUGCCUACGCAAGU